rnacentral:rRNA from 1 species
AUGCAGAGAGCAAUCAGGGCGGUGUGGCCUGACUCAAACCAUAGGCUCUGUAUAUGGCACAUUCAGCAGAACAUUGUACACCAUCUGCAUGAUGACGCGGUAAAGGAGGAAUUCAGAUCUUUCAUAUAUGAUACAUCUUCCAUUGAAGAGCAUGAGAGAAAAUGGUUACACUUCUUACAACGGAACAAAGUAACAAGUGAGGACUCCUGGCUGCAUCAGAUGUAUAAGAUGAGAAAACUAUGGUGUGCUCCAUAUAUUGAGGGCCGUUGUUUCCUAGGAUUGAGCAGCAAUCAGCGGAGUGAGAGUUUAAACUCGGUGCUACAUACACAUCUUGAGGCUAAGAUGACGUUGUUUCAAAUGCUAGAGCACUAUGAGCGUUGCCUUGCGCCGCGACGCUUGAACGAGGCUUUCCAAGACGUCGAGGCCUUGCAGUCCGUUCCGUUCAUAGAGGAAAAUGCUUCAGUUCUUGAGAAACACGCCGCGAAAGUUUUCACUCCUGCUGUGCUUAAGUUGGUCUUACGGAGCAUAGAUGCUGUCAAAAAAUGA